rnacentral:rRNA from 1 species
AUUGAACGCUGGCGGCAGGCCUAACACAUGCAAGUCGAGCGGAUGAAGGGAGCUUGCUCCUGGAUUCAGCGGCGGACGGGUGUGUAAUGCAUAGGAAUCUGCCUGGUAUUGGGGGAUAACGUCCGGACGCGGGCGCUAAUACCGCAUACGUCCUGAUGGAGAAAGUGGGGGGUCUUCGGACCUCACGCUAUCAGAUGAGCCUAGGUCGGAUUAGCUAGUUGGUGGGGUAAAGGCCUACCAAGGCGACGAUCCGUAACUGGUCUGAGAGGAUGAUCAGUCACACUGGAACUGAGACACGGUCCAGACGCCUAAGGGAGGGAGCAGUGGGGAAUGUUGGACAAUGGGCGAAAGCCUGAUCCAGCCAUGCCGCGUGUGUGAAGAAGGUCUUCGGAUUGUAAAGCACUUUAAGUUGGGAGGAAGGGCAGUAAGUUAAUACCUUGCUGGUUUGACGGUACCAACAGAAUAAGCACCGGCUAACUACGUG